GGAAUCUUCCACAAUGGACGCAAGUCUGAUGGAGCAACGCCGCGUGAGUGAAGAAGGCUCUCGUGUCGUAAAACUCUGUUGUUGGAGAAGAAUGGUCGGCAGAGUAACUGUUGCCGGCGUGUCGGUAUCCAAUCAGAAAGCCACGGCUAACUACGGGCCAGCAGCCGCGGUAAUACGUAGGUGGCAAGCGUUAUCCGGAUUUAUUUGGCGUAAAGCGAGCGCAGGCGGUUUUUUAAGUCUGAUGUGAAAGCCCUCGGCUUAACCGAGGAAGCGCAUCGGAAACUGGGAAACUUGAGUGCAGAAGAGGACAGUGGAACUCCAUGUGUAGCGGUGAAAUGCGUAGAUAUAUGGAAGAACACCAGUGGCGAAGGCGGCUGUCUGGUCUGUAACUGACGCUGAGGCGCGAAAGCAUGGGUAGCGA
rnacentral:rRNA from 1 species